AGAUUGAACGCUGGCGGCAGGCCUAACACAUGCAAGUCGAGCGGCAGCACGGGUACUUGUACCUGGUGGCGAGCGGCGGACGGGUGAGUAAUGCCUAGGAAUCUGCCUGGUAGUGGGGGGAUAACGCUCGGAAACGGACGCUAAUACCGCAUACGUCCUACGGGAGAAAGCAGGGGACCUUCGGGCCUUGCGCUAUCAGAUGAGCCUAGGUCGGAUUAGCUAGUUGGUGAGGUAAUGGCUCACCAAGGCGACGAUCCGUAACUGGUCUGAGAGGAUGAUCAGUCACACUGGAACUGAGACACGGUCCAGACUCCUACGGGAGGCAGCAGUGGGAAUAGUUGGACAAUGGGACGAAAGCCUGAUCCAGCCAUGCCGCGUGUGUGAAGAGGUCUUCGGAUUGUAAGCUAGUUUAAGUGGAGAAGGCAGUUACCUAAUACGUAUCUGUUUUGACGUUACGACAGAAUAAGCGACCG
rnacentral:rRNA from 1 species